AUUGAACGCUGGCGGCAUGCCUUACACAUGCAAGUCGAACGGUAACAGGUUAAGCUGACGAGUGGCGAACGGGUGAGUAAUGUAUCGGAACGUGCCCAAUAGUGGGGGAUAGCCCGGCGAAAGCCUGAUUAAUACCGCAUGAGACCUGAGGGUGAAAGCGGGGGAUCGCAAGACCUCGCGCUGUUGGAGCGGCCGAUAUCAGAUUAGGUAGUUGGUGGGGUAAAGGCCUACCAAGCCUGCGAUCUGUAGCUGGUCUGAGAGGAUGACCAGCCACACUGGGACUGAGACACGGCCCAGACUCCUACGGGAGGCAGCAGUGGGGAAUUUUGGACAAUGGGCGCAAGCCUGAUCCAGCCAUGCCGCGUGCGGGAAGAAGGCCUUCGGGUUGUAAACCGCUUUUGUCAGGGAAGAAAUCUUCUGGGUUAAUACCUCGGGAGGAUGACGGUACCUGAAGAAUAAGCACCGGCUAACUACGUGCCAGCCGCCGCCGUAA
rnacentral:rRNA from 1 species